rnacentral:rRNA from 1 species
UAGGGAAUCUUCGGCAAUGGACGGAAGUCUGACCGAGCAACGCCGCGUGAGUGAAGAAGGUUUUCGGAUCGUAAAGCUCUGUUGUAAGAGAAGAACGAGUGUGAGAGUGGAAAGUUCACACUGUGACGGUAUCUUACCAGAAAGGGACGGCUAACUACGUGCCAGCAGCCGCGGUAAUACGUAGGUCCCGAGCGUUGUCCGGAUUUAUUGGGCGUAAAGCGAGCGCAGGCGGUUAGAUAAGUCUGAAGUUAAAGGCUGUGGCUUAACCAUAGUACGCUUUGGAAACUGUUUAACUUGAGUGCAAGAGGGGAGAGUGGAAUUCCAUGUGUAGCGGUGAAAUGCGUAGAUAUAUGGAGGAACACCGGUGGCGAAAGCGGCUCUCUGGCUUGUAACUGACGCUGAGGCUCGAAAGCGUGGGGAGCAAACAGGAUUAGAUACCCUGGUAGUCCACGCUGUAAACGAUGAGUGCUAGGUGUUAGGCCCUUUCCGGGGUUUAGUGCCGUAGCUAACGCAUUAAGCACUCCGCCUGGGGAGUACGACCGCAAGGUUG